UUCCAUAUAUUGCGCCAUUUUCUGUGAGCCUAAAUAAUCCCUGAACAUUCUGAAAAUUCAAAUAAACCUCUAGAACAGUUACUGCAGAGUAUAUCAACCUACAUUUUAAGUAAAGUAAGAUGGUCAUCUCCAGUUAAGAUUAAGCUUGGCAGUUGAAUAAAGUAUAUAGAGUUUUGUUUUCGCUCAAAUAAUUAACAAAUUAGUUCAGAUGAAUAAAUUGUAUAAAUUAAAAUGUUUAAACAGCAAUGAGUACAAACUGUUUUACAUCUUAAACUGAACAGAAAUUGCACUUGAUACUCACACAUGUAGUGUAGCUCAACACCUAUACUAAUGCAAAAAGAAGGAAAAAAAUGCCCCAUCAUCAGAAAAAUAGUGUGGGUGAAAGCCACGGUUAAGCUCAUCUGCACGGGCUGUUGGCCCACUUCCUAUGUGCUAACAUGACUAUAGUCGUCACUCAGUCUAAAACCUUCUGAUGUGAUGCAGUCACUGAUCUGUGUUUAGGAGAGACAACAGAGGGGGUUUCUGUUUGCUCACUAUUGUCUUCAUUUCUGCUGAAAUGAGAGUGCCUCAACCACGAUGCACAAAACCUUUAUUUUUUUUACAGAUUAUUUGGAUCUUGUCAGCCUUUGCCUCAGGAAAAACAGGCAUAUACAAGCUUCACUUCUCCCUGGGAUGUCAAGCUGUGAUACCAUGUCAACAUGAGAGAAGUGGCACAGACUCUUUCAAAUGGUUUUACAGGAGGGAUGGACAUACCCAGAAAAUCCAGAUAUAUCUUCAAAAUAAGCAAGGAGUACAAUACUAUUCUGUUUCUCGCAACAGCCUGAGUGUCAAGCACAAUCGUUCCUUGGUCAUCAGUUAUUUUACAGAGGAUGAUCAAGGCCUGUACUGGUGUGAAUACUGUUAUAAAGACAACUGUGAACAGUCCUCAGUCAUCAUAGUCAAGAAAGAAAUUCUGGAUGAAAUUCACAAGACAUUUUAUGUGACUGCAGGCAGCAGUUUUACGUAUGCAUGUCCAGGUGAAUUUGCAAACUUAAACUGGAGUUUUGAAGCAGGUAACAAGCCUGCUCUCAGGAUCUCAGCAGUGAGAUCAAAAACAGACUUUUUGACUUCCAACAAGUCUAUACACAUUGUUAAUGUCAAAAGAGCAGAUGCUGGGAAAUAUACCUGCUGGAGGAGUGGAUGUGUUGGACACAGACAGAAGUUACUUACUAUCAACUUGUCUGUAAUCACAGUACACCAGAGUGUGGAUUCAUCUGUUCCUUGUGCUGUGAUAUGUGAUAUGGAAUUCAGUAACAUCAAAUCUAUAAACCUAUCAAGUGAGGAAACAGGUACAAGGACAAUAUCAGUGUGUGUAGACCCAUAUGGGUUUUUAAAUUGCAGCACAAAGCAGAUCUUUGAUGUUUACACUGCAGUUAACAGCACUGAUGCACCAUCGAAUGCUUCAAACACAGCAUCAGACCAACACUUUGGGCAGGUAGGCUAUGCAGCUUUUUAUCUUGUUGAAACUUCCUGUUUAACACUUGUUCAGUGGUCUGCUACUCUCAAAUUCUGACUGCAUAGCGUGACAAAAGCUGAAGUAGAUGUUUGAGAUGGCUUGGCAAGUUUAUGUUCCCCUGUUGAAGCUGUUUCCCUUUCUGUGUGUCUCAGUUUUUUCUGAUCAUCCUUCUGGUGGCAUUAAUCACAGUGUAGAGACUUCAGUGGUUUAUUCGUCAGUUGUCAUCAGGAGACCGGCUAAGACAACAUAUCAUGUGACUGACAGUGACUGUGUGUAUAGUGAAAUAAAUGUAUAGAGAAAAGGUCCUAAAUUAAAAAAAAGGUCCAUAAACACCUCUGUUAUUAUGACAGUUUCCACCCUCACUGUCAUAUGUUUAAAUUAAUUCCUUGUGUUUCAUGGGAAAAGUCGUUGGUAAUGUCACCCACGCUGUUCUGAGAGGAAAUUCUUGGGUCUUUUUUUGAAUAUAAAGUUUCCUGUCUGAGUGAAGUGACCCAAACAGCAUUCAUGAUAAAAUCUGACUGAAUUCUCUAUACAAUAAAAAAAAAAAUAAAAAAUUGACUAU